CAGGAAACUACCUGAAGCCCCGGGAACUGAUGCAGCCAAUCAAGAUCCGUCGAAAGAAGCGAGGGCAGAGCGAGGGGUAGGAGAUCACUGGUGUGGGGAGAGGGGUGGAGCCUCGCUGCAGGGCAGAAGAGGAGGGAGGGGCCAACAGAAUGCAUGGCAGCAGCUUACCCCGUCCUCUGCCUCAGGAUGGCUUCCCAGUGAUAAAGUGGCAGAGAGGUCAGGUCAAACCCAUCCCCUUCCAUUUCCUACCCAUGUAAUUCUACUAGGCUCUGACCUACAAACCAUCACCAUUCAACCCCGCCCCACCUCCAUCCCCACCUCGACCCCCCUUUCCUCACGUCACGGCCCCUUUCCUGGCCCCCACCCAGGCCUUCCUACACCCUGCCCCUUUCCCCUGUGGUGCCCCCCCACACACACCUCUAAUCCUGGGCAGAGUAACACACAACUUGCCCAGGUAUACACACCUCAACCAGAACACAGCAACAAACCUCUAACCCUGGGCAGAGUAACACACACCUGGCCCAGGUAUACACGCCUCAACCAGAACACAGCAACAAACCUCUAACCCUGGGCAGAGUAACACACACCUGGCCCAGGUAUACACGCCUCAACCAGAACACAGCAACACACCUCUAACCCUUAGACUGGAGAAGAAAGACUAAGGCGUUACCAGGGGUGGAGUCUCGAAGGGCAACGGCCCAAUCAGACCAAAGCCCGGCCAGCAGCAGAGUCUGACACUACCCAGAAAUCCCCACCCCUACCCAAUCCCCCAAUCAGAACCCCCGAGAAGCUCAGACGUGAGAGUGCUAAGCCAAUCAGACAGAGCGAGAAGAAUGUGAGGGGACUGUCUGGGGCAGUGGCUAUUGUGAAGAGAGAGAGAGGCAGACCGAAGGUUACUAGCUCUCCAGCUACACCUGUACAGACCAGCCUUGCAGAACAGAUCAGCCUAGAGGGAGAAACAAGGAGGAGGAAGAAAAAGAGGAGAGUAGAAGCCUCAGCUGGGGUGGGAGAAAGGACCAGAGCCAGGGAGGACAAGCAAGAAACAGAGCCAGCGAGGACAAGCGAGAAACAGAGCCAGCGAGGACAAGCGAGAAACAGAGCCAGCGAGGACAAGCGAGAAACAGAGCCAGC
ensembl:lncRNA